CCCGGCGGGCUGGCAGGGCCGCGGCAGCCGUAGCCUGCGUCUCCCCGGCGCCGCAGCGGCCUGCCGCGCCUCCCGGCCGCUCAGGCAGUCUCCCGGCCUGCCCCGGGAGGAGGGUCCACCGAGGGGAGGCGGCCAAGCGGUAGCGGUAGCAACGGAGGAGCCGGCGGCGUGCGCGGCCCAGGGUGGCCGGGACAGGCGGGCUCCUUCCCCGCUGCGUUUCGCAGCUGUCACGCACCUCCCUGCUCGCGUUACCGCCCCCCGGGCCCGUGAGCAACAUGAGAGUAGUGGCUUUGAUCAGUGGUGGGAAGGACAGCUGUUAUAAUAUGAUGCAGUGUGUUGCCGCUGGGCAUCAGAUUGUUGCUCUAGCCAAUUUAAGACCUGCUGAAAACACAGGGCAGACUGAUGAAUUGGACAGCUAUAUGUAUCAGACAGUAGGACACCAUGCCAUUGACCUAUACGCUGAUGCAUUGGAUUUGCCACUCUAUCGUGGUUUCAUAAAGGGUACCAGCGUAAAUACUGGAAGAGUGUAUACCACAUGUCAAGAAGAUGAGGUUGAAGACCUUUACCACCUCAUGAAACUUGUUAAGGACAAAGAAGGAGUGGAGGGUGUAUCUGUGGGAGCCAUUCUUUCUGACUACCAGAGAGUUCGAGUUGAAGAUGUGUGCAGAAGGCUUAAUCUUCAGCCUUUAGCUUACCUUUGGCGUCGGAAACAGGAAAUAUUGCUCAAAGAAAUUAUUUCAUCUAACAUUCAAGCCAUAAUCAUAAAAGUGGCAGCUUUUGGUUUAGACCCAGAUAAGCAUCUAGGAAAAACUCUGGAUCAAAUGGAGCCUGAUCUUUUGGAGCUUUCUGAGAAAUAUGGAGUCCAUGUUUGUGGAGAAGGUGGAGAAUAUGAAACAUUCACUCUGGACUGCCCUCUAUUUAAGAAGAAAAUAGUUGUAGAUUCGGCCGAGGUGGUUGUGCAUUCCGCUGAUGCAUUUGCACCUGUGGCCUACCUUCAUUUUUUAAAGUUACACCUGGAGAAUAAGCAGGGGGAAUCUUCAGGUAUGUUUAUGGUCAAUAGCUGUUCUUGUGAGCUAAGCUACAAUGAUGACGGUAUUUUCCCUUCAUCAGAAGAGGAUGAACCACAGAAAAACAUUCUAGUCCUCUGGAAGUCUUUGAAACAUAAUGCUUUGGAUUUCACCAAGAUGUUUGGAAGUUCAGGAAAAUCCCCGAGUGGUUACCAGUGGUUUUCAGGUAUCACUGCCCACUUCCUUCCAUCAAAAGGCAAAAAUGCUCAAGAGGCAGCAAGGGAAGCAUUUUCUUCUCUCCAAGCUAAUAUGACUUCAGAGGGAUUGAAACUGAAGGAUAUUAUUUUGGUUCAUCUGUAUAUGAAGAGCAUGAAAGAUUUCAAUGUUAUAAAUUCAGUUUAUGUGACACAAUUUGAUUUGUGUCCACCAGCAAGAGUAUGUGUGGAAACCCUGUUACCUGAUGGAGUACUGUUUUGCAUUGACUGCCUUACACAUAAGUAUGACAUUGCAACAGAUGAUGUGUUACGUGAUGAAAAACUGGUCAUGCAUGUACAGAGCAUUUCCCACUGGGCACCUGCUAGCAUAGGACCUUACAGUCAGUCCAUCAAGGUUGGAGAUGUUCUCUACUGUGCUGGACAGAUUGCUCUAGUACCUUGUACGAUGCAGCUUGUUAGUGGUGGCAUAUGUACUGAAGCCAUCAUUUCCCUCCGUCAUGUUGAGCGAGUUCUUGAAGCUAUGAGCCAGAAGACUGCACUCCACCAUGUCAUCACAGCCAGCUGCUACGUAACUGACAGCAAGCACAUUCCUAUUGCUCACUCUAUAUGGCAGAAGAAAUUAAGAGAAUGUAAAAAGGUUGAAGAUUCAGAGAUGUAUUAUGAUGCAACUACAGUGUGUGGGUUGCUUGCUGUGGUUGUAAUAUCUCACCUACCCAGAGAUGCUGCCAUUGAAUGGCACGUUGUUGCAGUAGUUGAUGAUCCACUCCAGAGAAAACAUUUUACAGUGAAGAUGUUGUCAGAGGGAUUCCAAAUUGAGUGUGAAUCUGUGGAAUCUAGUUCUGCAUCUUGUGCAUCAAUCUCCGUACGUCUGAGCUUGAUUUCACCAUCCCUUUCUCAGCUUGAUUUAGAUGGACCUCUUCAUGACUUAGUUGUUAUGUUUAGACAAGCUGUUGAGAAACUUUCAGAAGACUGCACUGCAAGUCCUUUGUCUUUUAGAGCUUUCUUCAAGGAGGAUGUGUUUGAUGCUGAAACACUACAAACAGCAUUCCUGGUGCAUCUGUCACACUGUACAGCUUUAGGAAGAGUCCAUACCAGCCUUCAAACUAAGCUGAAGUUUAGGUUUCAAAAUGUGGAAGGAAGUUCAGGAGAGAAUGUAUACUUGGAAGAGGAUGUUUUAGGAUGGUAGUGUCCAUGAACUCUGCUUGAAUAUCUUACCUCACCCAGCCUCAAUUCUCCUGUGCAGCCUGUCUGCUGGAAAAAAAGAGAUGGACCAUUUUGGGUCAUCUUCUCCUUCACAGGACUGCAAGAAUACCUAGAAAAAUAUUUGGGCAAGAAGACCCCAGCUCUGAUUUUAGUACCUGUGGUGGAUUUACCUGGCAAAGAAGU